rnacentral:rRNA from 1 species
ACUAUUCGCUAAAGGGUGUUCGGGAGGCUACGCCGUAAAACAACCCCAUUUCUAAGGUGACCUC